CAGCCCCUCGAGUGGUGGGGAUGAUUAUUUGGCCUAAAGCGUCCGUAGCCGGCCGAGUAAGUCCCCCGUUAAAUCCAGCGUCUCAAGCGUUGGACUGCGGGAGAUACUACUUGGCUAGAGAGUGGGAGAGGUCAGCGGUAUUCUGGGGGUAGGGGCGAAAUCCUUUGAUCCCCGGAGGACCACCAGUGGCGAAGGCUGCUGACUAGAACACGUCUGACGGUCAGGGACGAAAGCUGGGGUAGCGAGCCGGAUUAGAUACCCGAGAAGUCC
rnacentral:rRNA from 1 species